CAGCAGCCACGGGAAUACGGAGGGUGCAAGCGUUAAUCGGAAUUACUGGGCGUAAAGCGCACGCAGGCGGUCUGACAAGUCAGAUGUGAAAUCCCCGGGCUUAACCUGGGAACUGCAUUUGAAACUGUCAGGCUGGAGUCUUGUAGAGGGGGGUGGAAUUCCAGGUGUAGCGGUGAAAUGCGUAGAGAUCUGGAGGAAUACCGGUGGCGAAGGCGGCCCCCUGGACAAAGACUGACGCUCAGGUGCGAAAGCGUGGGGAGCAAACAGGAUUAGAUACCCCUGUAGUCCCUGUCUCUUAUAC
rnacentral:rRNA from 1 species